rnacentral:pre_miRNA from 1 species
UCGGACCGCCGGAUCCGGCGGCCGGACCGUCGGAUCCGGCGACCGGACCGUCAGAUCCGGUGGCCGGA